rnacentral:lncRNA from 1 species
AAUUUUUUCUUUCUUUCCUUAAGGUGUCUGUUAUACCUCAUUGGUUUUUUAGGGUUGAGGAGCUGUGAAAAUGGAACCCUAGAAACUUAUGCAAUCAUGUGGCUAGUCAGUGAACGAAGAAAAAACUAAAUAGAUGGCCGGGUUGUUGUCUGUGAAGCUAUAUUUUCUUGUAGCACAUGCUUGUGGUGUGGGCAGAACUUACAGAUUUCAUGUUGUCAAGCAAUAAAAUUGAUGAAUUGGUCUAGUAAUACUUGAUUUCUUUUUGGAAAAUUUUCAUGAACCAGUCUUAUUAUUUUAAGUUAAUGAGCACACUUGACAUCUAUUCUCCUACCAGAAAUUCCGUUCUUGCCUUAUUAACUUGUCAUAUGUUUUAGUUGAAGGAAAUGCUUACCAUGGCACUUUAUUUAGUUGGCAUCGAAAGCAUCUGUUUGACUUGAUGUAUGGAUCGGGUUCUUUGUGGCUCAUCUAGCAAUUUUUUUGCUUUGUUACAUACGGUCUCCCACAGUGUUUUGGUGCGAAAUGGGCAUGACUUCAUUUUGN